GAUGAAGAACGCAGCGAAAUGCGAUAAGUAAUGUGAAUUGCAGAAUUCAGUGAAUCAUCGAAUCUUUGAACGCACCUUGCGCUCCUUGGUAUUCCGAGGAGCAUGCCUGUUUGAGUGUCAUUA
rnacentral:rRNA from 1 species